UACGGAGGGGGCUAGCGUUGUUCGGAAUUACUGGGCGUAAAGCGCGCGUAGGCGGAUCUGCAAGUCGGGGGUGAAAUCCCGAGGCUCAACCUCGGAACUGCCUCAAAUACUGACGGUCUCGAGGGAGAUAGGGGCAAGCGGAACUAAUGGUGGAGCGGUGAAAUGCGUUGAUAUCAUUAGGAACUCCGGUGGCGAAGGCGGCUUGCUGGAUCUCUUCUGACGCUGAGGCGGCGAAAAGCUGAGGGGAGCAAACGGGG
rnacentral:rRNA from 1 species